AAAAAAAAAAAAAAACGCGGUCAAACCAAAACCAAACCAAACCCCUCGGCGGCUAAAGCCCUAGCUCUCUCCCGCCGCCGUCGAGUGGAGGUCAGGAGCCCAUGGCCAUGGAGCACCUGCGGUGGCGCCCCACGGUGAACGAGCGCGACUUCAUCGAGAGCGCACUCCAGUCCGACCUCCGCGUCGACGGCCGCCGCUCCUUCGACUUCCGCCGCCUCAAGAUCGCCUUCGGCAGAGAGGACGGCUCGUCGGAGGUGCAGCUCGGGGAGACGCGCGUGAUGGGAUACGUGACCGCGCAGCUGGUGCAGCCCUACAGGGACAGGCCUAACGAGGGGACGCUGGCCAUAUUCACUGAGUUCUCGCCCAUGGCCGAUCCUGCCUUCGAUCCCGGGCGGCCUGGGGAAUCAGCAAUUGAGCUUGGCCGAGUCAUCGACCGCGGCCUGAGGGAGAGCCGAGCCGUGGACAUGGAGUCGCUGUGUGUUAUUGCCGGGAAGCAUGUCUGGUCUAUGCGUGUCGACCUUCACAUUUUGGAUAACGGAGGGAAUCUCAUUGAUGCUGCCAACAUUGCUGCAUUGGCAGCUUUGUCUACUUUCCGGAGGCCUGAAUGCACGGUUGGUGGGGAAGAUGGUCAGCAAGUAACAGUGCAUGAUCCUGAGGUUAGGGAUCCACUACCUCUAACGAUUCAUCAUCUUCCCAUAGCUGUAACCUUUGCCUAUUUUGGUGAAGGUAACGUCGUGGUUGUUGAUCCAACAUACAAGGAAGAAGCAAUUAUGGGAGGGAGGAUGACUGCUACAAUUAACUUGAAUGGUGAUGUUUGUGCCAUCCAGAAACCUGGUGGAGAGGGUGUUAUGUCAAGUGUCAUCAUGCAGUGUUUAAGAAUUGCUUCAGUUAAGGCUGCUGAUAUAACAAGCAAAAUAAAGAACGCAGUAGACUCAUACACCGCCGAGAAAGCUUUAAAGAAAGUAAAGCGUUUGCCAGCCUCAGUGCCUCAGAAGAUUAAUGUUCCUGAUGUAACUAUGGAGGACAAAGGUGAUGGUGAAUUGGAAAGGCAAACUGUGAAGACACUCAGUUAUGUUCAGCAGAUAAGCAAAGGUGAUCCAGCAACCAUGGUUGAGGCGAAUAACCAUGAAGAUGCCAAACUAAUGUUAACUGAAUCUAACACUGAGGUGAAAAGCACAUCAGGCUCUGGGGCUGCUGGAGAGUCUGACGAGGCCCAGGAAGUUAGAUCACCAAAGAGUCUAAAAGGUGCUGUCAAACCAAAACAUAAAAGAAAGAAGAAAAAAAGUGACAGGAGCUAGCUUAGCUCUAAUUCUGUAACUUCUAGGCCUGUCAGUGUUGAUUAGCCUGAUGACUUCCUGCUAUAGUUGAGGGAUCUUCAUCGGAGGGUGGUGUACUGCUACGCAUUGGCUUCUUAUGUGUUUUGAAGUGUCAGAAAUUAGCAGUGGUGACCACAUGCAAAUUUUGUUCAAGCUGUAGAACAGCGUUGUAGAAAUGGUUUUCCCAGUUGACUUUUCAUAUCAAGUUCCGUGACAAGCCGUCCAACUCUUGCUUGUGUCAGUCCAUGGGAGAGCUGGGCAAUGUUCUCGUACCGUCAUUCGUAGCAUGGGCAAUCCUUGCUUCGUUGUCCUAUUGGGCAAUGGUACCGUUCUAGAAAUUUGUUUAAAGGUUUAGAGAAAUAUUGCAUUCCAACAACCUUUAAACCAUCCGUUUUAUUUGCUCUUCUCAAGGUUGUUGCGUGCAACUCUUUGCUGAAAAAUGACCUUGACAAGAGGCUGCCUUCCUGUACCCAACCAUCAGCAUCAGGCCACGAGCCCCAAUUUGAUCCGUGAAGAGCCAGGCCGUCCGCAAC